rnacentral:rRNA from 2 species
UGAAUGGCUCAGUGAGGCGUUCGGACUGGCCCAGGGAGGUCGGCAACGACCACCCAGGGCCGGAAAGUUCGUCAAACUUGGUCAUUUAGAGGAAGUAAAAGUCGUAACAAGGUCUCCGUAGGUGAACCUGCGGAGGGAUCAUUA